UACGAAGGGGGCGAGCGUUGUUCGGAUUUACUGGGCGUAAAGGGCGCGCAGGCGGCGCAUUUUGUCAGGCGUGAAAGCCCCGGGCUUAACCUGGGAACUGCGUUUGAUACGGAUGGGCUAGAGUUCGGGAGAGGAGAGUGGAAUUCCCAGUGUAGAGGUGAAAUUCGUAGAUAUUGGGAAGAACACCGGUGGCGAAGGCGGCAUCCUGGACCGGUAUUGACGCUGAGGCGCGAAAGCCAGGGGAGCAAACGGG
rnacentral:rRNA from 1 species